rnacentral:rRNA from 1 species
AGAGUUUGAUCAUGGCUCAGAUUGAACGCUGGCGGCAGGCCUAACACAUGCAAGUCGAACGGUAACAGGAAGAAGCUUGCUUCUUUGCUGACGAGUGGCGGACGGGUGAGUAAUGUCUGGGAAACUGCCUGAUGGAGGGGGAUAACUACUGGAAACGGUAGCUAAUACCGCAUAACGUCGCAAGACCAAAGAGGGGGACCUUCGGGCCUCUUGCCAUCGGAUGUGCCCAGAUGGGAUUAGCUAGUAGGUGGGGUAACGGCUCACCUAGGCGACGAUCCCUAGCUGGUCUGAGAGGAUGACCAGCCACACUGGAACUGAGACACGGUCCAGACUCCUACGGGAGGCAGCAGUGGGGAAUAUUGCACAAUGGGCGCAAGCCUGAUGCAGCCAUGCCGCGUGUAUGAAGAAGGCCUUCGGGUUGUAAAGUACUUUCAGCGGGGAGGAAGGGAGUAAAGUUAAUACCUUUGCUCAUUGACGUUACCCGCAGAAGAAGCACCGGCUAACUCCGUGCCAGCAGCCGCGGUAAUACGGAGGGUGCAAGCGUUAAUCGGAAUUACUGGGCGUAAAGCGCACGCAGGCGGUUUGUUAAGUCAGAUGUGAAAUCCCCGGGCUCAACCUGGGAACUGCAUCUGAUACUGGCAAGCUUGAGUCUCGUAGAGGGGGGUAGAAUUCCAGGUGUAGCGGUGAAAUGCGUAGAGAUCUGGAGGAAUACCGGUGGCGAAGGCGGCCCCCUGGACGAAGACUGACGCUCAGGUGCGAAAGCGUGGGGAGCAAACAGGAUUAGAUACCCUGGUAGUCCACGCCGUAAACGAUGUCGACUUGGAGGUUGUGCCCUUGAGGCGUGGCUUCCGGAGCUAACGCGUUAAGUCGACCGCCUGGGGAGUACGGCCGCAAGGUUAAAACUCAAAUGAAUUGACGGGGGCCCGCACAAGCGGUGGAGCAUGUGGUUUAAUUCGAUGCAACGCGAAGAACCUUACCUGGUCUUGACAUCCACGGAAGUUUUCAGAGAUGAGAAUGUGCCUUCGGGAACCGUGAGACAGGUGCUGCAUGGCUGUCGUCAGCUCGUGUUGUGAAAUGUUGGGUUAAGUCCCGCAACGAGCGCAACCCUUAUCCUUUGUUGCCAGCGGUCCGGCCGGGAACUCAAAGGAGACUGCCAGUGAUAAACUGGAGGAAGGUGAGGAUGACGUCAAGUCAUCAUGGCCCUUACGACCAGGGCUACACACGUGCUACAAUGGCGCAUACAAAGAGAAGCGACCUCGCGAGAGCAAGCGGACCUCAUAAAGUGCGUCGUAGUCCGGAUUGGAGUCUGCAACUCGACUCCAUGAAGUCGGAAUCGCUAGUAAUCGUGGAUCAGAAUGCCACGGUGAAUACGUUCCCGGGCCUUGUACACACCGCCCGUCACACCAUGGGAGUGGGUUGCAAAAGAAGUAGGUAGCUUAACCUUCGGGAGGGCGCUUACCACUUUGUGAUUCAUGACUGGGGUGAAGUCGUAACAAGGUAACCGUAGGGGAACCUGCGGUUG